AGAGUUUGAUUAUGGCUCAGAGCGAACGCUGGCGGCAUGCUUAACACAUGCAAGUCGCGCGGGCAGCAAUGUCAGUGGCGGACGGGUGAGUAACGCGUAGGUAUCUAUCCUUAGGUGGGGGAUAACUGUGGGAAACUACAGCUAAUACCGCAUGAUGACCGAGGUCCAAAGGCGCAAGUCGCCCGGGGAGGAGCCUGCGUACGAUUAGCUAGUUGGUGGGGUAAAGGCCUACCAAGGCGACGAUCGUUAGCUGGUCUGAGAGGAUGAUCAGCCACAUUGGGACUGAGACACGGCCCAAACUCCUACGGGAGGCAGCAGUGGGGAAUAUUGGACAAUGGGCGAAAGCCUGAUCCAGCAAUGCCGCGUGUGUGAAGAAGGUCUUCGGAUUGUAAAGCACUUUCGACGGGGACGAUGAUGACGGUACCCGUAGAAGAAGCCCCGGCUAACUUCGUGCCAGCAGCCGCGGUAAUACGUAGGGUGCAAGCGUUGUCCGGAAUUACUGGGUGUAAAGGGAGCGCAGGCGGGUUGACAAGUCGUUGGUGAAAUUCUGAGGCUCAACCUCAGAACUGCCAAUGAUACUGUCGAUCUUGAGUACAGAAGANNA
rnacentral:rRNA from 1 species